CAAUGCCUUCAGUGGGCUCUACAGUCUCAAAACACUGAUGAUUGAUACUGUUAGCAUCGACUCCAUUGAAUCAAAUGACUCCAUGGGACUCUCCAGUCUUCUAAGCCUGUUCAAGACGAAUGCUCACAUCAUCUCCAUUGAGUCAAAUUCCUUCAGUGGACUCUCCUCUCUGGAGCACCUGUA